rnacentral:rRNA from 1 species
CCUUUAGAGUUUUGAAUCCCCUGCUCAGGACGAACGCUGGCGGCGUGCCUAAUACAUGCAAGUCGAGCGGACAGAUGGGAGCUUGCUCCCUGAUGUUAGCGGCGGACGGGUGAGUAACACGUGGGUAACCUGCCUGUAAGACUGGGAUAACUCCGGGAAACCGGGGCUAAUACCGGAUGGUUGUUUGAACCGCAUGGUUCAGACAUAAAAGGUGGCUUCGGCUACCACUUACAGAUGGACCCGCGGCGCAUUAGCUAGUUGGUGAGGUAACGGCUCACCAAGGCGACGAUGCGUAGCCGACCUGAGAGGGUGAUCGGCCACACUGGGACUGAGACACGGCCCAGACUCCUACGGGAGGCAGCAGUAGGGAAUCUUCCGCAAUGGACGAAAGUCUGACGGAGCAACGCCGCGUGAGUGAUGAAGGUUUUCGGAUCGUAAAGCUCUGUUGUUAGGGAAGAACAAGUGCCGUUCAAAUAGGGCGGCACCGAGACGUACCUAACCAGAAAGCCACG